UACGAAGGGGGCUAGCGUUGUUCGGAAUUACUGGGCGUAAAGCGCGUGUAGGCGGGUCUUUAAGUCCGGGGUGAAAUGCCAGGGCUCAACCUUGGAACUGCCUUUGAUACUGGAGACCUUGAGUCCGGGAGAGGUGAGUGGAAUUGCGAGUGUAGAGGUGAAAUUCGUAGAUAUUCGCAAGAACACCAGUGGCGAAGGCGGCUCACUGGCCCGGUACUGACGCUGAGGUACGAAAGCGUGGGGAGCAAACAGG
rnacentral:rRNA from 1 species